GAGACCAGAUGAGCCAGUUUAUCAAUCUGGAUGGUGCCUAUCAAGGGCUGGGGCUGCAAAACAUCUCAAGAGAAACCCACCCUUCUCAACUCUACUUUGUAAUGCUGGAGAUUAUUCAUGCCUCUUGCAAACCACGUUUCUGCUUAAACUCUGCCAAUAAAGGGCACUGAAGGGAGACAGCCGACUGGAGGAGGGACUUCCUGUUUGCUUCCUAUCUACUUCCUGCUUCUAUAUUAAAGAGGAGACUGAAACUGUUCCUUGGACAUCUUAUGAGUGUCAGAAAAUACCUUUUGGAGGGUUAGAAGAUCAGAGGACAUGGUUGUUCACAUUUGCUGCCAUGGAUCACCG
rnacentral:sRNA from 1 species